rnacentral:misc_RNA from 1 species
UACGUAAGGGGCGAGCGUUGUUCGGAAUUACUGGGUGUAAAGGGUCCGCAGGCGGCCGGGUAAGUCGGAUGUGAAAUCUCGGGGCUCAACCCCGAAACUGCAUUCGAUACUGCUCGGCUUGGGUUCGAGAGAGGAGCACGGAAUUCCCGGUGGAGCGGUGAAAUGCGUAGAUAUCGGGAAGAACACCAGUGGCGAAGGCGGUGCUCUGGCUCGAUACCGACGCUCAUGGACGAAGGCGUGGGGAGCAAACAGG